GACCUCAAAUCAGGUAAGGACACCCGCUGAACUUAAGCAUAUCAAUAAGCGGAGGAAAAGAAAAUAACAAUGAUUCCCCUAGUAACUGCGAGUGAAGAGGGACAAGCUCAAAUUUUAAAUCCAUCGGGUUUUACCUGAUCGAGUUGUAAUUUGAAGAAGCGUUUUCUGCGUAUUUGAUCAGCCUAAGUCCUAUUGAAUGAGGCAUCACGGAGGGUGAUAAUCCCGUCCGGUUGAUCAUUUGCGUUUUACGAUACGCUUUCUAAGAGUCAAGUUGUUUGGGAUUGCAGCUUAAAAUGGGAGGUAAAUUUCUCCUAAGGCUAAAUAACGGCGAGAGACCGAUAGCGAACAAGUACCGUGAGGGAAAGAUGAAAAGAACUUUGAAAAGAGAGUUAAACAGUACGUGAAAUUGUUGAAAGGGAAACGAUUGAAGCCAGUCGUACCUUCGGGUAAUCAGCCUUUCGGGUGCGAUUCUGUGGAGUGUGAGGAGCUUAAACACCUUCAUGUUUUGCAUAUUCGUACUCUUGGGUGUACUUGCCCGUGUGGUUGGUUAACAUCAAUUUUGGUGGUCAUAAAAUGACUGGGGGAAUGUAGCUUCGAUCUUGUAUUGAAGUGUUAUAGCCUUCGGUAGAUGUGAUGAUCGAGAUUGAGGAUUGCAACGGAUACCCUUCGGGGCUACCUGUCUGGUCUCUGAUCGUUGCUCUGGUGCCGAAAGCUUGCUUACGGUUAUCAAAGUCGAUGGUCAAUAGGUUAGAACGGGUUAAAUUCGUUAAGGAUGUUGACGUAAUGGCUUUAAACGACCCGUCUUGAAACACGGACCA
rnacentral:rRNA from 1 species